GACGAACGCUGGCGGCGCGCCUAACACAUGCAAGUCGAACGAGCGAGAGAGAGCUUGCUUUCUCAAGCGAGUGGCGAACGGGUGAGUAACGCGUGAGGAACCUGCCUCAAAGAGGGGGACAACAGUUGGAAACGACUGCUAAUACCGCAUAAGCCCACGACCCGGCAUCGGGUAGAGGGAAAAGGAGCAAUCCGCUUUGAGAUGGCCUCGCGUCCGAUUAGCUAGUUGGUGAGGUAACGGCCCACCAAGGCGACGAUCGGUAGCCGGACUGAGAGGUUGAACGGCCACAUUGGGACUGAGACACGGCCCAGACUCCUACGGGAGGCAGCAGUGGGGAAUAUUGCACAAUGGGGGAAACCCUGAUGCAGCGACGCCGCGUGGAGGAAGAAGGUCUUCGGAUUGUAAACUCCUGUUGUUGAGGAAGAUAAUGACGGUACUCAACAAGGAAGUGACGGCUAACUACGUGCCAGCAGCCGCGGUAAAACGUAGGUCACAAGCGUUGUCCGGAAUUACUGGGUGUAAAGGGAGCGCAGGCGGGAAGACAAGUUGGAAGUGAAAUCCAUGGGCUCAACCCAUGAACUGCUUUCAAAACUGUUUUUCUUGAGUAGUGCAGAGGUAGGCGGAAUUCCCGGUGUAGCGGUGGAAUGCGUAGAUAUCGGGAGGAACACCAGUGGCGAAGGCGGCCUACUGGGCACCAACUGACGCUGAGGCUCGAAAGUGUGGGUAGCAAACAGGAUUAGAUACCCUGGUAGUCCACACUGUAAA
rnacentral:rRNA from 1 species